rnacentral:rRNA from 1 species
AUGCAGCAAGUGGCCAAUACAUCCAGCAACAACGCCAUAUCAAGAUGGGUCCAUCCCCCUGAAGGUAUAGCAAAAAUUCGAGUCGAUGGUGUUGUUUCAAGAGCUGCGAAGGAAGGAACCUAUAGUGCAAUAUGCAGGGACCAUCAUGGCAAAUACUUGGGCUCAUCAGCCAUCAAAGUCUCGGGUAUCACGGACCCGGGGACUCUCGAGGCGUUAGCUUGUCACGAGGCGCUUGCUCUAGCCCUGGAUCUUGGGCUGCCAAAUGUACUUGUUGCUUCAGAUUGCAAAGUUGUGGUGAACGACAUUAAGCUAGGCACGGGAGGUAUGUAUGGAAGCAUAGUGAAGCAAAUAAGAAAUACGUCCGAACAAUUUCAGUAA